AUUGAACGCUGGCGGCAUGCCUAACACAUGCAAGUCGAACGAGUGGCGGACGGGUGAGUAAUGUAUGGGAACCUGCCUGAUGGAGGGGGAUAACUACUGGAAACAGUAGCUAAUACCGCAUACCAUCGGAUGUGCCCAGAUGGGAUUAGCUAGUAGGUGGGGUAACGGCUCACCUAGGCGACGAUCCCUAGCUGGUCUGAGAGGACGACCAGCCACACUGGGACUGAGACACGGUCCAGACUCCUACGGGAGGCAGCAGUGGGGAAUAAUGCACAAUGGGCGAAAGCCUGAUGCAGCCAUGCCGCGUGUAUGAAGAAGGCCUUCGGGUUGUAAAGUACUUUCAGCGGGGAGGCGUUACCCGCAGAAGAAGCACCGGCUAACUCCGUGCCAGCAGCCGCGGUAAUUC
rnacentral:rRNA from 1 species